GAUGAACGCUGGCGGCGUGCCUAAUACAUGCAAGUCGAGCGAACAGACGAGGAGCUUGCUCCUUUGACGUUAGCGGCGGACGGGUGAGUAACACGUGGAUAACCUACCUAUAAGACUGGGAUAACUUCGGGAAACCGGAGCUAAUACCGGAUAACAUGUUGAACCGCAUGGUUCAACAGUGAAAGACGGUUUUGCUGUCACUUAUAGAUGGAUCCGCGCCGCAUUAGCUAGUUGGUAAGGUAACGGCUUACCAAGGCAACGAUGCGUAGCCGACCUGAGAGGAUGAUCGGCCACACUGGAACUGAGACACGGUCCAGACUCCUACGGGAGGCAGCAGUAGGGAAUCUUCCGCAAAGGGCGAAAGCCUGACGGAGCAACGCCGCGUGAGUGAAGAAGGUCUUCGGAUCGUAAAACUCUGUUAUUAGGGAAGAACAAAUGUGUAAGUAACUAUGCACGUCUUGACGGUACCUAAUCAGAAAGCCACGGCUAACUACGUG
rnacentral:rRNA from 1 species